CUUUUGAUUCUAUUUAUUCCAACUAUGCUUAUAGAUUUUUGUUUAAUGUAUGCAACCAGAUUAACAUUCUGUCAUAAAUUUUCAGCUCUAAUUUGCUGUUUUUGUCAGUGGCAAAUUUCUACAAGUAAUUGUUGCUUUAUACUUAAUUGACGAUUAAUAUUUGCCGUAAAACUAUAUCAAGUGCUUCAGUUAAAGAAUAUAUUAACAAACUCUAAUAGAAAUCACGUUUUAAACCGAAUUUAGGUUACACCAUCGCAAAUGAUUCCAAACCAGUUAUUCGUAUUCCAUUGUUUCUACAUUAAGCACGAGGCAAAGAAACAAAAAAGCGACCGUGAGCGCAAUGUGCUUUUCCGUCUCGACGCUCAGCACCAGCAGAUAACUCAACUAUUUUCGCAUUUUCACACCGGCGUGUGCGAGAGAGGGUGGUGUUCUUUUCAUUUCGCCCUCGCGGCGAAUGGUUUUCAUCUUGAUCUUGGAUCUUGGCGUUUGUUCAAAAUUAUAGAAAAGUUAUUAAGGCAUGUCGUCUUCUUCCCCGCGUGCUGUUCAUAAUCUGUGAUAUUUCACAGGAAUAUUAACGGUUCAAGAUGUCUGCCACGUCUAUUCUACCUUUGUUUCUUUUGCUUGUUUUGCAAUUGUCGGAAAACUAAUAAGUGGAAUCACAUCACAAAGUAAUACUACUGUAAUCGAAGUAGUAGUCUUUCAAAAAUACACUUUAACGCCAUCUAGAUUCAAAUUUUAUAACUAAAACUACGAUAAAAUCUCUAUAUUAACUUUAAUCCUUUAUUUUGCACCUUUGCAGUUAAAUAUUUACGAUAAAAAGUCGCUCAUUUCUUUUUCCAAAGUCAAAAGUAUCUCCAUGCUAAAAUUUAUCAAAAUAUGUUCUGUGAAUUUUGCGCGAAAGCGUCACAAACAUACAAAUGCAUACAAAUGCAAUUAUUCGGAAAACUAAUACGCGGAAUCACAUCACAAAGUAAUCCUACUGUAAUAAUACAAGUAGUCUGUUAGACAUUAAAUUGACGAAGGCAUUUCUCAAUGUUUCUUCGUUCGAGGAUAUUUCUUUCUAAGCGCGCGCCCGCCUUAGAAGAAAAACGAAAUAAAUGGUUUAAACUCUCGUGCUCGCGCGCUCGAGCAAUUUGAAUAUAUAUGUUUCGAGAAGUCGUAAAUUUCCCAACUAAUGCUCGACGUCUCGUUGAAGUGUGCGCGCGUGUGUUGGGGGUGGCAGGUUGCGGGGGUUGUAGCGAAGAAGGAAGCAUUCUUUUACGCGCGCCGCGCGCUUCCAGCGACAGAAUUAUUACUACUUCAUCACUCUCGAGGAAACGCUGAAACGAAACAAGACAAGAUGAAAUACUUAACCGACGCUCUCUCUGCGAACGCAACGGAACGGCUCUCCUUGACGUCGAAGAGGAGUUAAUUAAAAAUAUAAAUAACCAGCGACAUUUUAUUGGUUCACUUCAAAAAUAUGUGUAGUGCACACUGUGUAUGAGUUAUACUUAUACAACAUGGCGUCAUUAUUAUGACAUACUGCGCAUGCGCACAACGUGUAACCUUUAAUUUUGACAGUUGGUGUGUCAAACUAUAACCAACUAUUACAUUCACUUCAAAUCAUUUUUACUAUUUUAUUUAAUAAAUACAAACUUAAAACAUUUUUUGUUUUUCAAAAAUAACACUUAGCGCAAACAAUAUAAAAAUAAAUGAACCGAUUUCAUUCUUUCAAGGACACAAACACUCAUUAAGUAACUUACAAUUACACACAACUCAAGAUUAUUUACAAAAUAUAUGAAAUGAAUGCUUAUUUAAUAAGUCUAUGGACUAACGGAAUUGGGACCUAGGGUCUUCAUAAGUUUAUAACAAUCUUGCAGUCGCUUCUUAUCCCCGAUGCGCUCCAAGGUCUUCGCUGCCUCGGCGAGCAUACCGGCGCGCUCUCCCGGUAGGGAGAUCAACUGCCCCGGGAGAUGCCUGCAGGCGAGAUACAAAGCGGCGGCAUGCUGCCGCUCCCCGCCCAACUGCUGUUGAUUCUUGUCUGUCAACAAACACACCGCAAAAAAUUAAACUCAUCAUAAGCCUCAUGAAAUAUUCAUUGCGCAGAUGAUGUGCAAAUAAAAAUUAGCAAACGCAAA